ACCCACAGCUACACUGCUUCCUGUCAAAUGCGCAUGCGCAGUGGAUCGUUCUACUCUGGACAGCUGUAGGAGAAAAUGGCAGCACUCAUGCUAGGGCAGCAGGUCCGUCAGUUCAGCUCGUCUGUGGUCAGACCUGCAUCAAAGCUGAUCAGGCCUCCCAUCCAGGUGUAUGGAGUGGAGGGCCGCUAUGCCACUGCUCUGUUCUCCGCCGCCAGUAAGCAGAACAAACUGGACCAAGUGGAGCAGGAGCUGGGCAAAGUGUCUGUAAGUCAAACAUAAGACC